rfam:Brachypodium distachyon strain Bd21 chromosome 3, whole genome shotgun sequence.
AGGCAGCCCCUUUGUCAAAUUACAAUGGCAAUGGAGGUGUUGCGUUGCUCGAAGAUUAAAUCUUCUGAUCUUCAGAUUGGCUGAGGGGGAUGCUCUGCUUCCCUCCCUGAAGCCGGUCUAGUAGUCUUACGGACAUC